rnacentral:lncRNA from 10 species
GGUGGAGCAGCUCAGCAGGAUAAUAAGCUUACUCGCCUGACCUUGGGUCUCUCUCUCAUCCUUUCUCUUGGCUAACCUUCAUUUUGGUGCCAAAACCCAGGAAGGGGAUAGGCUCUGGCUGGGCGUCCUUAGAGGAUUCUCUCUCUCUCUCUCCUAUCAUCCCUUACCCAGCCAACCUCCCCUUCCCGAACCUGCUAAAGACCCUAAGGAUCUCCCAAAAUUCUCCCAUUGUUGGCCACCUCAUCCACCAUCAAAGCCUCUGAGAGGGAUUGAAGAACGUCUCGGGUCCUUCUCCUCCGAUCCUGAUACUUACAUCAAAGAAUUUAAAUAUCUUACUCAAUCUUAUGAACUCACUUGGCAUGAUCUCUACUUUAUCCUCUCUUCUACCCUCCUUCCAGAAGAGAAGGAAAGAGUGUGGCUCGCAGCACAGGCAUAUGCCGAUGACCUUCAUCAGCAGGAUCCUACUAAGCCCGUAGGAGCUGCUGCUGUUCCCUGGGAAGAGCCUUCCUGGGAAUACCAACCCACAGACCCUGGCCAAGUGUACUGUAGCCAUAUGAUUACUUGCCUCAUUGCAGGCCUUAACAAAGCUGCCCAUAGGCUGUAAAUUUUGAAAAACUUAAAGACAUUUCCCAAAAGGCAGAUGAAAAUCCUGC